rnacentral:rRNA from 1 species
GGGCCCGCACAAGCGGUGGAGCAUGUGGUUUAAUUCGACGCAACGCGCAGAACCUUACCAGCCCUUGACAUCCCGGUCGCGGACUCCAGAGACGGAGUUCUUCAGUUCGGCUGGACCGGAGACAGGUGCUGCAUGGCUGUCGUCAGCUCGUGUCGUGAGAUGUUGGGUUAAGUCCCGCAACGAGCGCAACCCCCGUCCUUAGUUGCUACCAUUCAGUUGAGCACUCUAAGGAGACUGCCGGUGAUAAGCCGCGAGGAAGGUGGGGAUGACGUCAAGUCCUCAUGGCCCUUACGGGCUGGGCUACACACGUGCUACAAUGGCGGUGACAAUGGGAUGCGAAGGGGCAACCCCUGGCAAAUCUCAAAAAGCCGUCUCAGUUCGGAUUGGGCUCUGCAACUCGAGCCCAUGAAGUUGGAAUCGCUAGUAAUCGUGGAUCAGCAUGCCACGGUGAAUACGUUCCCGGGCCUU